AAUGGCUACUUUUAUUAGUAGCACUUUUUUUUCAUUUUGUAAUUGAAUGAUCGUUUCAUGGUUUCAUUUACCGUCUUCUUCUCAAUAAAUCUCAUCGGUCGACGCCGCCUGUCGGAACACCACCGCCGCCGUUAUCUUUAAUCGUUGAAUUAGGGAGAUUUGAGAUGGUGGUGUGUUUUGAGGCUACACCUAAAAAGAUUGCAGCUACGACAGCGUUUUUUCUUUUCGGUUGCUCGUUAUUUGGAUAUGGUUUGCACCUUUCUCAUGUCAAUGUUGCUCCUCAACAAGCUCGACUUCAAGCUCGGAAUGAUUACAUUAGAGCGAGAUUGAAGAAGCUACACGGAGAUAAAUCGUUCUAGCCCAUGGAUUAUAAAGUCGUGCUUUUAUUCAUAGUGUUUGAAUCUUAUAAACAAUGCAGAGGGCUUCAUCAAACAUAUACUAGUACUUUUUAUUAUCUGCUUAGUGAUUGUUUUGAAGCUUGGUAGAUAUGAGCACAUUUAUUCGUUUUACAGCAGUCACGUUAGUUUGCACACGUUGCUAUGAAUGUAAGCGCAUUUCUUCUA